rnacentral:tRNA from 1 species
GUCUAUGUAGAUUAUUUUAAAUCAUGAUGCUGUUAACUUCAAGAAGGAAUUAUUUUCCGUAGUCG